GCCGUGAUAGAUGUGACGCCGCUGAAGUGCAGACUUACCUCUGAAUGAUUCAGGGCCACCGGAGGAUGACGAUGAUGGAAGAAGAUCAGAUCAACCUUUUCUUUUCCAGCUGACAUCCUGCAGCGUAGAAACAACUCAAACAGGAAAUGAGAGAAAAGGACUCCUUGAUUCAAGUUGAGUGGCUUCAACAGACAAAAACUGCGCAAGGUUCUUUGUUAAAGCAGCACCAAUGUGUGAAAAUGAGCAUACACUGAGUCAUAUGUGCUACUUGACGGCUGAAGCCCAGGUGAGAUACCUUCAGACCGGACAGCAACUGCUGGGUGCAACGAGAAACAACUCAAACAGGAAAUGCGAGUCUUGUUUGUGUGAGUAGCUCGAUCUGACAGGACCGCACACGCUUCUGUGUGUGAAAAAAGCGUGAGCGUGUUGUGAGUCACAUGAACUUCAUCGCCGUGAAAUACAAUCAUCAGACGAAGAGCAAAGACCGGCGUGAUCAUCUCGACUACACCAGAGACGUACGACCACUUCAGCGUCGUGCCAUUUUCAAGAAAAAAAAUCCAAACUCAUGGUGUUUUUUUUUUUUUUUCGAAUUGUUUUUCUUUUUGCACAUGGUGUUUUCUCUGACCACGGUAAUUAUUAGGCACUCACGAUGUGUUUAUAAUGCACUUAUAGUGUUUCGAUGCCUUCUGAGCACCACUUCAAACAAAGUGUUAGCCAACAUUUGUGCAAUCAUCA